rnacentral:rRNA from 1 species
GUCCACGCCCUAAACUAUGAGAACUAAAUAUUGCACUUUGUGCAGUCUAUGAAGCUAACGCGUUAAGUUCUCCGCCUGGGUAGUAAAGACGCAAGUUCGAAACUUAAAGGAAUUGACGGGAACCCCGCACAAGCGGUGGAACAUGUGGUUUAAUUCGAAGGCACACGAAAAACCUUACCAAUCCUUGACAUAUUUAUUGUUAGUUUACUAACAAUAUUUACAGGUGCUGCAUGGCCGUCGU